rnacentral:rRNA from 1 species
CCUACGGGAGGCAGCAGUGGGGAAUAUUGCGCAAUGGGCGAAAGCCUGACGCAGCGACGCCGCGUGAGGGAUGAAGGUCUUCGGAUCGUAAACCUCUGUCAGCAGGGAAGAACGGUCACUGUGCUAAUCAGCAGUGAAUUGACGGUACCUGCAAAGUAAGCACCGGCUAACUCCGUGCCAGCAGCCGCGGUAAGACGUUGGGUGCGAGCGUUAAUCGGAAGUACUGGGCGUAAAGCGCGCGUAGGCGGGAUGUCAAGUCAAGAGUGAAAUCCCCGGGCUCAACGUGGGAACUGCCUUUGAAACUGGAUGACUGGAGUGUGUGAGAGGAUAGUGGAAUUCCAGGUGUAGGAGUGAAAUCCGUAGAUAUCUGGAGGAAAAUCAGUGGCGAAGGCGACUUUCUGGCACGUAACUGACGCUGAGGAGCGAAAGCGUGGGUAGCAAACAGGAUUAGAUACCCCUGUAGUC